UACGCUUCUCGGCCUAACGGCUAAGAUCAAAGUCAAAGUGUAGUAUCUGUUCUUAUUAGUUUAACACCUAAUAGUUCCCUCAUAGAGGGACAAUAAAGAAAAAUUUCGAAAAUCCAACGGUGUUUUAGAUAAGUCGUUCUGAUAUUUCUUUGAUUGAUUGAAUAGUGUAUAAAUCUAAGAAAAAGCUCU
rnacentral:snRNA from 1 species